rnacentral:rRNA from 1 species
UCGGGAAUUUUGGGCAAUGGGCGAAAGCCUGACCCAGCAACGCCGCGUGAAGGAUGAAGUAUUUCGGUAUGUAAACUUCGAAAGAAUGGGAAGAAUAAAUGACGGUACCAUUUAUAAGCUCCGGCUAACUACGUGCCAGCAGCCGCGGUAAUACGUAGGGAGCAAGCGUUGUUCGGAUUUACUGGGCGUAAAGGGCGCGUAGGCGGCGCGGUAAGUCACUUGUGAAAUCUCUGAGCUUAACUCAGAACGGCCAAGUGAUACUGCAGUGCUAGAGUGCAGAAAGGGCAAUCGGAAUUCUUGGUGUAGCGGUGAAAUGCGUAGAUAUCAAGAGGAACACCUGAGGCGAAGGCGGGUUGCUAGGCUGACACUGACGCUGAGGCGCGAAAGCCAGGGGAGCAAACGGGAUUAGAUACCCCGGUAGUCCUGGCCCUAAACGAUGAAUACUUGGUGUCUGGAGUCAUUAAUGCUCCGGGUGCCGUCGCUAACG